rnacentral:rRNA from 1 species
UUAGCGUAUACCUGCCCACUGAUUUAUUUAAUUAAAGGGCCGCGGUAUUUUGACCGUGCAAAGGUAGCAUAAUCAUUAGUUUUUUAAUUGAAGACUUGUAUGAAUGGUUGAAUGAGAUAUAUGUUGUGUCGUAAAAUUUUUAUUUAAACUUUAUAUUUUAGUUAAAAAGCUAAAAUAAUUUUUAAAGACGAGAAGACCCUAUAAAUCUUUAUAUUUAAAUUAAUUUAAUUAAUAAAGAAUUUUAUAAAUAAUUUAAAUUAAAUUUUUUGGAAUAUUUUAUUGGGGUGAUAUUAAAAUUUAAUUAACUUUUAAUUUUUUGUUCAUUAUUAAAUGUAAAAAAUUGAUCCAACAUUUUUGAUUAAAAAUUUAAGUUACUUUAGGGAUAACAGCGUAAUUUUUUUGGAGAGUUCAAAUCGAUAAAAAAGAUUGCGACCUCGAUGUUGGACUAAGAAUUAAUUUAGGUGUAGAAGUUUAAAUUUUGAGUCUGUUCGACUUUUAUUUCUUACGUGAUCUGAUCCAAACCCGGGAAGACCCCCCCCCCGCCCAACCCCCCCCCACCUCUGCCGCACCG